GACGAACGCUGGCGGCGUGCUUAACACAUGCAAGUCGUACGGUAAGGCCCUUUCGGGGGUACACGAGUGGCGCACGGGUGAGUAACACGUGAGUAACCUUCCCACAACUUUGGGAUAACGCUAGGAAACUGGUGCUAAUACUGGAUAUGUGCUCCUGCUGCAUGGUGGGGGUUGGAAAGCUCCGGCGGUUGUGGAUGGACUCGCGGCCUAUCAGCUUGUUGGUGGGGUAGUGGCCUACCAAGGCGGCGACGGGUAGCCGGCCUGAGAGGGUGACCGGCCACAUUGGGACUGAGAGACGGCCCAGACUCCGACGGGAGGCAGCAGUGGGGAAGAUUGCACAAGGGGCGCAAGCCGGAUGCAGCAACGCCGCGUGCGGGAGGACGGCCUUCGGGUUGUAAACCGAUUUCAGCAGGGACGAAGCUUUUUGUGACGGUACCUGCAGAAGAAGCACCGGCUAACUACGUG
rnacentral:rRNA from 1 species